UGUGUGUGCGCGCGCUUUAGGGCCAUACAGCUCAUCAGUAUAAUCAGUUCGAUUGUUCCGUUUUGUUAGAUGUUUCUGUUUACACACGCUGUAUAACGAGUUUGAAGGGUUGAGGUCGACGUCUUGGGUAAGUUGAUGUGUGCGUAGUCAGUUCUAGGGGUGGGCGAUAUGAUUGUAUCGCAAUAAAUCUGUGUCCUGAUACAAUUUUCUUUGGACAGUUGAUAACGCAGCGAUCGCACUCGGGUGGGAACCGAAACAUGCAUCAGAUUUCUUUCUUUCUUUCUUUCUUUAUUGCUGUUUAUUUUUAUUAUAAUGACUGGACGUAUGAGUCAUUCAUUAGCAAGCCUUGAUUGGCCAGUGAAAAAUUCCAGUGUUUUGCCUGGAAACCUAAUUGACCAGGUUAAAAAGUGACCGCUUAAGUAAUGUAAUAAAGUACGCCGAGCUAAUUAAGUGCAUUUAAUAAAGACUAAGAGAAACGAGCGACGUUUUCUAGUGAGACUCGUUGUAACCUCCUGAUAAAGAUUUCAACCUUAAGAGCCUCGUGACAAAGUCAGCAAGGAUGGGGUCUUCAUUUCCCCUCGAUGCGGUUAUCUGUACUAAGCGGGACAGAUAAACGGCAGCUUUAUGUCAUGAUUUUAUAAUAUCAUUUUUUUCCCCGCAUGUCCAGAGGUUUUGUAUGCAUCAUCACGAACGUAGCCUCUAAAUGAGGCAAGACUCCAGUAAACUACACUCAGCUUGCGGCCAUGCACACCACGUACGCUGAGAAGGGUUUACGCAUCUUGGGCUUCCCAUGUAACCAGUUUGGAAAACAGGUACGUUUCACAACAGCACCACGCUUAAUGAAAGCUCAGGCAUUUAAAGACCUUGUUUGUUCAAUCUUAUUUUUGUACCACCCUUUAGAGGCUACAUAAGAUAUUUACAGUACAUAUUUCCCAGAAGACCAAAGAAUAACAAUUUACACCGAUCGUCCUGUUCAAAAGUUAUCUCAAUGUAUCGUGUUGCCUUCUUGAGCAUCAGUGAAUGUUUGCACCUUUUUUUAAUAGUUGUGUGUGAGUGAUAGAAAAGGGUCAGAUAUGCAGAGGAUGCUGGAAAAGCACAGACUGUGCGGGACCUGGAGGAUUAUUCUGAAGAACAGUGGGCGGUUUCACUGCUCAGGACAAACAAGGGACAUGAACAACUCUCACAAAACAUAAACACAGUCGUUUUUCUGUUUGGUGAGCAGUAAGAGACUUCGUGACACGCUGUUGUUAGACAGUUCUCAACUUGGCUUCACGUGGUGGUGUGACGUCGUUGAUUCUGUUCCUUAAUAAGCACCGUCUCCAUGCCGAACCUCAGCCUAAUCAGUAAAUCCUAGCAGUAUUUUCUAGUGCAUGCCAGAACACUAACUUCACAUUAACAGUUGUGAAUGAAACGGAUUUAUUUGGCGCUCUCUCUCCGUAGGAGCCUGGUACCGAAGCUGAGAUUAAGGAGUUUGCGAAAGGUUACAAUGCAGAAUUUGACCUCUUCAGUAAGAUCGAUGUGAACGGAGACAACGCUCAUCCUCUCUGGAAGUGGAUGAAAGAUCAGCCGAAUGGAAAAGGCACUCUGGGAAACAACAUCAAGUGGAAUUUUACCAAGUUUCUCAUUGACCGAGAGGGACAGGUUGUGAAGCGAUACGGACCAAUGGAUGACCCAAGUGUUGUUGAAAAGGAUCUGCCAAAAUACUUGUAGCCAAUGUGGAUAAUCUCACCAUCCUGACUUGCUGACUCGCUGCCUACGCUCCUGUAGCCUGCUGGGUAUUUUCAGGUCUUUUCCCUAAAUAAUGACGGCCUAUCUGUAAACCUGCCUGCAGGUAGGACUGGCCCGAUGACCCCUUGGUGUGCAAAACCUCCUCUGGGAAGCCUGCAUAUACCUAGCUAUUGCUGCAGAGUGAAGACUUACUGACUCAACCCUGCACUGACUGAUGGCAUUCAUCAUUUACUGAUGAUAACUAAUAAUAAUAUAAUAAUAAAACAUGAAGAAAUUCACUGUGGGUGUGAUUUGAUGUGUUUUUUUUCCCCCUGUUUGUUUUAUAGUUUUCUUCUGGUUGAAGGCUUCAGAUUAUUAACCCUAAAAAUCUAUUUAGGAUCAGAUAAGAAAUUGUUUAUAUACUUUCUCAUUAUUGUCAGUGUUACACUGGAGAGUUAAAGAAGCCAUUUGUAUCUUUAGGGUCCUCUGCUAUCCACAAAGCUAACUGCUUUUAAAGUCUCCAUUCCGUCUGUUAAAGCAACAUGCCUCAUUGUCUUUAAAGGAAAAGUAGUGGCACCAUCCAGUUCUGUUUUGAAUGUCGACUAGGGCUGAUUUCUGGCCCUGAAAAAUAUCUCAAAUCAGACAUUUUCCACCCUUUGAAUUCCACUUUAAAAAAAAAAAAAAAAAAAAAAAAGAUAUUCUUUAAAUUUAUAUCAUUACAGCUCUG
ensembl:lncRNA